GACGAACGCUGGCGGCGUGCUUAACACAUGCAAGUCGAACGGAAAGGCCCUGCUUUUGUGGGGUGCUCGAGUGGCGAACGGGUGAGUAACACGUGAGUAACCUGCCCUUGACUUUGGGAUAACUUCAGGAAACUGGGGCUAAUACCGGAUAGGAGCUCCUGCUGCAUGGUGGGGGUUGGAAAGUUUCGGCGGUUGGGGAUGGACUCGCGGCUUAUCAGCUUGUUGGUGGGGUAGUGGCUUACCAAGGCUUUGACGGGUAGCCGGCCUGAGAGGGUGACCGGCCACAUUGGGACUGAGAUACUGCCCAGACUGCUACGGGAGGCAGCAGUGGGGAAUAUUGCACAAUGGGCGGAAGCCUGAUGCAGCAACGCCGCGUGCGGGAUGACGGCCUUCGGGUUGUAAACCGCUUUCGCCUGUGACGAAGCGUGAGUGACGGUAAUGUGUAAAGAAGCACCGGCUAACUACGUG
rnacentral:rRNA from 1 species